rnacentral:rRNA from 1 species
UACGGAGGAUGCAAGCGUUAUCCGGAAUGAUUGGGCGUAAAGCGUCCGCAGGUGGCUAUGUAAGUCUGCUGUUAAAGAGCAAGGCUCAACAUUGUAAAGGCAGUGGAAACUACAUGGCUAGAGUGCGUUCGGGGCAGAGGGAAUUCCUGGUGUAGCGGUGAAAUGCGUAGAGAUCAGGAAGAACACCGGUGGCGAAAGCGCUCUGCUAGGCCGCAACUGACACUGAGGGACGAAAGCUAGGGGAGCGAAUGGG